AUGAAAUGAAAUCAGCGUUUGGAUAUGCAAUUUUACGUUGAUUUUAUCUCAUAA
rnacentral:pre_miRNA from 1 species